AUGUCAUGUUAUCGAUAUGUGAAUACAUAGCAUAUCAGAAGGCACACCCGGAGAACUGAAACAUCUUAGUACCCGGAGGAAGAGAAAGAAAAUUCGAUUCCCUUAGUAGCGGCGAGCGAAACGGGAAGAGCCCAAACCAACAAGCUUGCUUGUUGGGGUUGUAGGACACUCUAUACGGAGUUACAAAGGACGACAUUAGACGAAUCAUCUGGAAAGAUGAAUCAAAGAAGGUAAUAAUCCUGUAGUCGAAAAUGUUGUCUCUCUUGAGUGGAUCCUGAGUACGACGGAGCACGUGAAAUUCCGUCGGAAUCUGGGAGGACCAUCUCCUAAGGCUAAAUACUCUCUAGUGACCGAUAGUGAACCAGUACCGUGAGGGAAAGGUGAAAAGCACCCCGGAAGGGGAGUGAAAUAGAACCUGAAACCGUGUGCUUACAAGUAGUCAGAGCCCGUUAAUGGGUGAUGGCGUGCCUUUUGUAGAAUGAACCGGCGAGUUACGAUUUGAUGCAAGGUUAAGCAGUAAAUGUGGAGCCGUAGCGAAAGCGAGUCUGAAUAGGGCGUUUAGUAUUUGGUCGUAGACCCGAAACCAGGUGAUCUACCCUUGGUCAGGUUGAAGUUCAGGUAACACUGAAUGGAGGACCGAACCGACUUACGUUGAAAAGUGAGCGGAUGAACUGAGGGUAGCGGAGAAAUUCCAAUCGAACCUGGAGAUAGCUGGUUCUCUCCGAAAUAGCUUUAGGGCUAGCCUCAAGUGAUGAUUAUUGGAGGUAGAGCACUGUUUGGACGAGGGGCCCCUCUCGGGUUACCGAAUUCAGACAAACUCCGAAUGCCAAUUAAUUUAACUUGGGAGUCAGAACAUGGGUGAUAAGGUCCGUGUUCGAAAGGGAAACAGCCCAGACCACCAGCUAAGGUCCCAAAAUAUAUGUUAAGUGGAAAAGGAUGUGGCGUUGCCCAGACAACUAGGAUGUUGGCUUAGAAGCAGCCAUCAUUUAAAGAGUGCGUAAUAGCUCACUAGUCGAGUGACACUGCGCCGAAAAUGUACCGGGGCUAAACAUAUUACCGAAGCUGUGGAUUGUCCUUUGGACAAUGGUAGGAGAGCGUUCUAAGGGCGUUGAAGCAUGAUCGUAAGGACAUGUGGAGCGCUUAGAAGUGAGAAUGCCGGUGUGAGUAGCGAAAGACGGGUGAGAAUCCCGUCCACCGAUUGACUAAGGUUUCCAGAGGAAGGCUCGUCCGCUCUGGGUUAGUCGGGUCCUAAGCUGAGGCCGACAGGCGUAGGCGAUGGAUAACAGGUUGAUAUUCCUGUACCACCUAUAAUCGUUUUAAUCGAUGGGGGGACGCAGUAGGAUAGGCGAAGCGUGCGAUUGGAUUGCACGUCUAAGCAGUAAGGCUGAGUAUUAGGCAAAUCCGGUACUCGUUAAGGCUGAGCUGUGAUGGGGAGAAGACAUUGUGUCUUCGAGUCGUUGAUUUCACACUGCCGAGAAAAGCCUCUAGAUAGAAAAUAGGUGCCCGUACCGCAAACCGACACAGGUAGUCAAGAUGAGAAUUCUAAGGUGAGCGAGCGAACUCUCGUUAAGGAACUCGGCAAAAUGACCCCGUAACUUCGGGAGAAGGGGUGCUCUUUAGGGUUAACGCCCAGAAGAGCCGCAGUGAAUAGGCCCAAGCGACUGUUUAUCAAAAACACAGGUCUCUGCUAAACCGUAAGGUGAUGUAUAGGGGCUGACGCCUGCCCGGUGCUGGAAGGUUAAGAGGAGUGGUUAGCUUCUGCGAAGCUACGAAUCGAAGCCCCAGUAAACGGCGGCCGUAACUAUAACGGUCCUAAGGUAGCGAAAUUCCUUGUCGGGUAAGUUCCGACCCGCACGAAAGGCGUAACGAUUUGGGCACUGUCUCAACGAGAGACUCGGUGAAAUCAUAGUACCUGUGAAGAUGCAGGUUACCCGCGACAGGACGGAAAGACCCCGUGGAGCUUUACUGUAGCCUGAUAUUGAAAUUCGGCACAGCUUGUACAGGAUAGGUAGGAGCCUUUGAAACGUGAGCGCUAGCUUACGUGGAGGCGCUGGUGGGAUACUACCCUAGCUGUGUUGGCUUUCUAACCCGCACCACUUAUCGUGGUGGGAGACAGUGUCAGGCGGGCAGUUUGACUGGGGCGGUCGCCUCCUAAAAGGUAACGGAGGCGCUCAAAGGUUCCCUCAGAAUGGUUGGAAAUCAUUCAUAGAGUGUAAAGGCAUAAGGGAGCUUGACUGCGAGACCUACAAGUCGAGCAGGGUCGAAAGACGGACUUAGUGAUCCGGUGGUUCCGCAUGGAAGGGCCAUCGCUCAACGGAUAAAAGCUACCCCGGGGAUAACAGGCUUAUCUCCCCCAAGAGUUCACAUCGACGGGGAGGUUUGGCACCUCGAUGUCGGCUCAUCGCAUCCUGGGGCUGUAGUCGGUCCCAAGGGUUGGGCUGUUCGCCCAUUAAAGCGGUACGCGAGCUGGGUUCAGAACGUCGUGAGACAGUUCGGUCCCUAUCCGUCGUGGGCGUAGGAAAUUUGAGAGGAGCUGUCCUUAGUACGAGAGGACCGGGAUGGACAUACCUCUGGUGUACCAGUUGUCGUGCCAACGGCAUAGCUGGGUAGCUAUGUGUGGACGGGAUAAGUGCUGAAAGCAUCUAAGCAUGAAGCCCCCCUCAAGAUGAGAUUUCCCAACUUCGGUUAUAAGAUCCCUCAAAGAUGAUGAGGUUAAUAGGUUCGAGGUGGAAGCAUGGUGACAUGUGGAGCUGACGAAUACUAAUCGAUCGAAGACUUAAUCAA
rnacentral:rRNA from 2 species